CCUACGGGCGGCAGCAGUGAGGAAUAUUGGUCAAUGGGCGAGAGCCUGAACCAGCCAAGUCGCGUGAGGGAGUACUGCCCUAUGGGUUGUAAACCUCUUUUGUCGGGGAGCAAAAGCCGGACGUGUCCGGCUGUGAGAGUACCCGAAGAAAAAGCAUCGGCUAACUCCGUGCCAGCAGCCGCGGUAAUACGGAGGAUGCGAGCGUUAUCCGGAUUUAUUGGGGUGAAAGGGUGCGCAGGCGGAUUUUUAAGUCAGCGGUCAAAUCGUGGGGCUCAACCCCAUCCAGCCGUUGAAACUGGGGAUCUAGAGUGUGCGAGAGGUAUGCGGAAUGCGUGGUGUAGCGGUGAAAUGCAUAGAUAUCACGCAGAACCCCGAUUGCGAAGGCAGCAUACCGGUGCACAACUGACGCUCAGGCACGAAAGCGUGGGUAUCGAACAGGAUUAGAUACCCCAGUAGUC
rnacentral:rRNA from 1 species